CUCAGAUACCUUUGCAAACAUAAUCUUAGUAAGGUUAUCUAGACGAUUGUAUAGUCUCGAUGUAUAGUCUAGAGAGUCCAGAGCUCAGAGUCAGUUCAAAUAAAACUAUUUAACUAAAUUUUUCAAAUACCGUUGCAAACAUAAUCUUAGUAAGGUUAUCUAGACGAUUGUAUAGUCUGGAGAGUCCAGAGCUCAGAGUCAGUUCGAAUAAAACUAUUUAUCUAAAAUGCUCCUUAAUUUUUCAAUUCUUCCCGGACGAACAUCAUCCAGUUGAAUCGAACCCGAAUCGAAUGACUAAAGAUAAUAGUCGCCCAUAAGAAGAAUGUACUGAAGAUGUUGGUGCUGUCAUAAAUGACUAUCAGCAUCAAUAACAUAGAACCCAUAAAUCGGUUGCUCAUUGAGUCUUUUCGUAAAGAGUCCAAGACCAAGAUAUUUUCGAUCUCUAGCCUUGCCUUCGUCACCUCAAGCCCCUUGGCCUCUGCGGCCAGCUCUUGCUCCUUGCAGCGGAAUUCUGCCUUCUUUCAUUCUAAAGUACCUUAUGCGCUCAUCAUAGUUAUCGCCCUCGCCGCCGCCCGUCGUCCCACCUCCUCCCCCACCUUGAACAUCCGUUGGCGUUGUGGCUGUUGCCUGCGGCGCAGGCACAGUAAGAGAAAACAGCUAUAAGGU